rnacentral:lncRNA from 1 species
CUUAGGUGUGGGCGCAUGGGCAGACGAGGUCUGGAGUUCGAGCCUCAUCUCGCGCAGGAGUGGUUGGGUUUUUGCUGCACGCAUGGGGAAGGAGUUGGAGUCUGACCAGGACUCCUAGCAGCAGCGUGCUGAAGCGGUGCAAGCAGGUGGAUAAGGCUGCUCUGACCGGUUGGGGAGUUUGAAUGAAAUUCAAACUCCAAACUUGGCCAAAAAUCAAGGAGCAAAUUAGAGAAUUGAAAUUUAAAAAGAAUUCCUAUGCCGAAAUGCACUCAUUCGGCCAUAGCUAAAGAGUGCCG